rnacentral:rRNA from 1 species
GACGAACGCUGGCGGCGUGCUUAACACAUGCAAGUGGAGCGACGAACCAGGGCUUGCCCUGGGGCAGAGCCGCGAACGGGUGAGUAACACGUGGGUAACGUGCCCCAAUGAUCGGGACAACCCGGGGAAACCCGGGCUAAUACCGAAUGUGCUCCCCUCACACCAGUGAGGGGUGGAAAGGAAGCUUCGGCCUCCGCAUUGGGAUCGGCCCGCGGCCCAUUAGCUUGUUGGUGAGGUAACGGCUCACCAAGGCUGCGAUGGGUAGCUGGUCUGAGAGGACGAUCAGCCACACUGGGACUGAGACACGGCCCAGACUCCUACGGGAGGCAGCAGUGGGGAAUCUUGCGCAAUGCGCGAAAGCGUGACGCAGCAACGCCGCGUGGGGGAAGAAGGCCUUCGGGUUGUAAACCCCUUUCAGGAGGGACGAAGCCUCGGCCGUUAAUAGCGGACCGAGGUGACGGUACCUCCAGAAGAAGCCCCGGCUAACUACGUGCCAGCCGCCGCGGUAACAC